rnacentral:rRNA from 1 species
UCCCAGUUCGGAUCGCAGGCUGCAACCCGCCUGCGUGAAGUUGGAAUCGCUAGUAAUCGCGGAUCAGCAUGCCGCGGUGAAUACGUUCCCGGGCCUUGUACACACCGCCCGUCACACCAUGAGAGUCGGGAACACCCGAAGUCCGUAGCCUGACCGCGAAGGGGGCGCGGCCGAAGGUGGGUUCGAUAAUUGGGGUGAAGUCGUAACAAGGUAUC